rnacentral:rRNA from 1 species
CGAUGAACCACUUCGGUGGGGAUUAGUGGCGAACGGGUGAGUAACACGUGGGCAAUCUGCCCUGCACUCUGGGACAAGCCCUGGAAACGGGGUCUAAUACCGGAUACUGACCAUCACAGGCAUCUGUGGUGUUCGAAAGCUCCGGCGGUGCAGGAUGAGCCCGCGGCCUAUCAGCUUGUUGGUGAGGUAAUGGCUCACCAAGGCGACGACGGGUAGCCGGCCUGAGAGGGCGACCGGCCACACUGGGACUGAGACACGGCCCAGACUCCUACGGGAGGCAGCAGUGGGGAAUAUUGCACAAUGGGCGAAAGCCUGAUGCAGCGACGCCGCGUGAGGGAUGACGGCCUUCGGGUUGUAAACCUCUUUCAGCAGGGAAGAAGCGAAAGUGACGGUACCUGCAGAAGAAGCGCCGGCUAACUACGUGCCAGCAGCCGCGGUAAUACGUAGGGCGCGAGCGUUGUCCGGAAUUAUUGGGCGUAAAGAGCUCGUAGGCGGCUUGUCGCGUCGGUUGUGAAAGCCCGGGGCUUAACCCCGGGUCUGCAGUCGAUACGGGCAGGCUAGAGUUCGGUAGGGGAGAUCGGAAUUCCUGGUGUAGCGGUGAAAUGCGCAGAUAUCAGGAGGAACACCGGUGGCGAAGGCGGAUCUCUGGGCCGAUACUGACGCUGAGGAGCGAAAGCGUGGGGAGCGAACAGGAUUAGAUACCCUGGUAGUCCACGCCGUAAACGGUGGGCACUAGGUGUGGGCAACAUUCCACGUUGUCCGUGCCGCAGCUAACGCAUUAAGUGCCCCGCC